rnacentral:rRNA from 1 species
UUGCCCUAGUAACGGCGAGUGAAGCGGCAACAGCUCAAAUUUGAAAUCUGGCUCUCUUUGGGGGUCCGAGUUGUAAUUUGCAGAGGGUGCUUUGGCGUCGGCAGCGGUCUAAGUUCCUUGGAACAGGACAUCACAGAGGGUGAGAAUCCCGUACGUGGUCGCCUGCCUUCGCCGUGUAAAGCCCCUUCGACGAGUCGAGUUGUUUGGGAAUGCAGCUCUAAAUGGGAGGUAAAUUUCUUCUAAAGCUAAAUACUGGCCAGAGACCGAUAGCGCACAAGUAGAGUGAUCGAAAGAUGAAAAGCACUUUGGAAAGAGAGUCAAACAGCACGUGAAAUUGUUGAAAGGGAAGCGCUUGCAGCCAGACUUGCCCGCAGUUGCUCACCCGGGUACGCCCGGGGCACUCUUCUGCGGGCAGGCCAGCAUCAGUUUGGGCGACCGGAUAAAGGCCUCUGUCAUGUAUCUUCCUUCGGGAUGACCUUAUAGGGGAGGCGUAAUGCGGCCAGCCCGGACUGAGGUCCGCGCAUCUGCUAGGAUGCUGGCGUAAUGGCUGUAAGCGGCCCGUCUUGAAACACGGACCAAGGAGUCUAACAUCUAUGCGAGUGUUUGGGUGUCAAGCCCGGGCGCGUAAUGAAAGUGAACGGAGGUGGGAACCCUCUCCGGGGGGUGCACCAUCGACCGAUCCUGAUGUCUUCGGAUGGAUUUGAGUAAGAGCAUAGCUGUUGGGACCCGAAAGAUGGUGAACUAUGCUUGAAUAGGGUGAAGCCAGAGGAAACUCUGGUGGAGGCUCGCAGCGGUUCUGACGUGCAAAUCGAUCGUCAAAUUUGGGCAUAGGGCGAAAGACUAAUCGAACUAUCUAGUAGCUGGUCUGCG